AACAUCAACAGUCAGAAAGGUAUUAACUCCCACGAAACAUCAACAGUCGAAUGGGUAUUGACUCCCCUGAAACAUCAACAGUCAGAAAGGUACUGACUCCCACAAAACAUCAACAGUCGGAUGGGUAUUGACUCCCCUGAAACAUCAACAGUCAGAUAGGUAUUGACUCCCCUGAAACAUCAACAGUC